UACGGGGGGGGCAAGCGUUGUUCGGAAUUACUGGGCGUAAAGGGGACGUAGGCGGCCAACUAAGUCCGACGUGAAAUCCCAAGGCUUAACCUUGGAACUGCGUCGGAUACUGGAUGGCUUGAAUUCGGGAGAGGGAUGCGGAAUUCCAGGUGUAGCGGUGAAAUGCGUAGAUAUCUGGAGGAACACCGGUGGCGAAGGCGGCAUCCUGGACCAUGACUGACGCUGAGGAGCGAAAGCCAGGGGAGCAAACGGG
rnacentral:rRNA from 1 species